UACGUAGGGCGCAAGCGUUAUCCGGAAUUAUUGGGCGUAAAGAGCUCGUAGGCGGUUUGUCGCGUCUGACCGUGAAAGUCCGGGGCUCAACUCCGGAUCUGCGGUGGGUACGGGCAGACUAGAGUGAUGUAGGGGAGACUGGAAUUCCUGGUGUAGCGGUGAAAUGCGCAGAUAUCAGGAGGAACACCGAUGGCGAAGGCAGGUCUCUGGGGCAUUAACUGACGCUGAGGAAGCGAAAGGCAUGGGGAGCGAACAGG
rnacentral:rRNA from 1 species